UUUUCCUUCACCUAAAUAUCUAACAAGAAAAAGUGACUGCCUGACAGACUGAUCUAUCCAGGCACAGCUCAAACUACUGGACGGAUCGGGCUGAAAUUUGGCAUGCAAAU